UACGUAGGGUGCGAGCGUUGUCCGGAAUUAUUGGGCGUAAAGAGCUUGUAGGCGGUUUGUCGCGUCUGCUGUGAAAAUCCGGGGCUCAACCCCGGACUUGCAGUGGGUACGGGCAGACUAGAGUGUGGUAGGGGAGACUGGAAUUCCUGGUGUAGCGGUGAAAUGCGCAGAUAUCAGGAGGAACACCGAUGGCGAAGGCAGGUCUCUAGGCCACUACUGACGCUGAGAAGCGAAAGCAUGGGGAGCGAACAGGAUUAGAUA
rnacentral:rRNA from 1 species